ACGUGCUGCUGCUGUUUGUACCCAUCGUGGUGUUGUCUAGCACACAUCUGCCCUCAUCACAGAGUCUGGGGCUUGCAAAGCAAACAAAACCAGAAACAAAACACGGACCAACCCAGCAAACCAGAAAGGAGGAACCGAGCAGCAAUAAGAAGAGCGAGUCCUCGGGCAGCACGGCUGCAGGGGAUUGGCUUGGCCUCAUGGGCAGCUGCAUUCCUCAUGCAAGGUGUCCGUGUGCUCCUCCGUGUGUGCCUUGCUCUCCACUUGUGCUUCACGUGUGGGCUUUGUAGUUGGGUGUCUUGGCUGAUGAAUGUGGUUUUAUUUGUACCGCAGCAAACCAAACGUUAUCUUAGGGGUCAGUCUCCCCAGAGAUGUUCUCCUUGCUCUUUGCAUUCUCUGUUGCAAGCAUCAGGAAAAACAAUCACAUCAGAGCCAGGUUUUAUAUCAGAGGGCAUCUGUUUUAUUUAAUGCACUUCUGUAUAUCAGGACAUAGUCCUGCUCCUGUUGGAGGCGAUGGCAAAAUUUCUAUGGCUAUCAGGUAAAUGAGGAUGAGAUCUUGCUUUUGGAGCGAACGCUGUCACUCUCUGCCUUUCUUCCUCUUCUAUCCCUUUGCUUCUUACCCCUCAGUUUUGCACAGGGUGAAUCCUGCCAGCACCAAUGGCUUUGGUCAGGGCAACACCAUAAAGCAGAAGAAAUACAGGAUCCUUCCUCUAACGGGCAAUCAGCCUUUGAAUGUCAUAAGGAUCUGGAGCAUUGGGAUAUGCUCUUACACGGGAAGGCUUAACCCCGCUGAGGACAUCUGCUGACCAAGUGUGCUCUUCCCAGAGAGCUGGGGCUGUGCUCCGUCAGCUGCACCCAGGCCUGCGUGCACAGACAUUGCUCAAAGCUGAAAACAAGUGGCAGGUUUGGGGUUUAUUUUAUGUAAGGGUGAUUUCCUUCCCCUCACUCAUCUCUUAGCUCCUAUAAAAUCAUGUACCUGAUGCUUUAAAACUUUAAUUUCCGGAUAAAUGACCCAAACCGGGAGAACUCCCAAGCAUGGAAAAUGUUGGUGGAAGGGUUUUAGGCUAAGGAAAAGCUACAAAUGAGAUCAAAACAUGAUCUUUUGGGGUUUUGAGGCUUUAAUUUUUAGUUUUAAGACUGUACUUUUUCUGCACAUGCUGAUGCUGCUAUUUUAUCCAUAGAUUGCUUCUAAACUUGGGAUUAGAAGCUUCAUCUCUACAGUUUGACGGCAGGUGAGAGAUUGCACUUCACAGGGCAAAUGGAGCUAUUCCAGUGGCUGUUGGCUAUACAGACUGUGUGUAUGAAUCGGGAAUUUUACACUCAGAGAGUAAAAACCAGUGACAUCCAUCCAUCAAAAUAAUGUCAGUAUUUUCCCUUGAGCUUUAUGGGGUCUGAGCAUGUCCCCGGGAAGCCAAUGGGAUUGAAUUCUUAUUUUAUAGCACUUAAAUAAAGGACACUAUUAAAUUUGGUUUCUACAUACUCAUCUUACUGUCUCUUUUUAGGUUAAUCCUGAAGCUGGGAUGGGCCUGGGACUUUGUCCCCUAACUUUUUUGUGUGAGGGGAUGCAUGUAUGAGGGCUGUUGGUAGCAGCUGCUGUUCCCAUCCUGUUUAUUGCAGUCUGGUUUGGUUGUUCCCAAUGUCUUUGUAGCUGGGCUUUGCUGCUGAUGCCUUCUGCUGCCUGUCCCCAGCCUGCUUGUCUUGAGGCACUUUGGUGGGAUGCCAGACGCAGUCACCAGCCACAUCUCGCCUGUAAAUAUUGGGAAACUGGGAAAUAAUGUUGCAGCUGAUGUAUUUUAUUGAGGAGACCUUUAAUUCUUGAAGCAGGCAAAAGCAUUAGAUCAUGGUAAAGGUUAUUGCCGUGGGCCCGUGCUCUGCAUCCACAUGGUAACUCCUGCCUGCAUUGGUGCAUCUGCCCGCACCAGCGGC
rnacentral:lncRNA from 1 species